rnacentral:rRNA from 1 species
CUGGUGAGUAACACGNGGGAAACCUGCCCANAANCGGGGGAUAACACCUGGAAACAGAUGCUAAUACCGCAUAACAACUUGGACCGCAUGGUCCGAGUUUGAAAGAUGGCUUCGGCUAUCACUUUUGGAUGGUCCCGCGGCGUAUUAGCUAGAUGGUGGGGUAACGGCUCACCAUGGCAAUGAUACGUAGCCNACCUGAGAGGGUAAUCGGCCACAUUGGGACUGAGACACGGCCCAAACUCCUACGGGAGGCAGCAGUAGGGAAUCUUCCACAAUGGACGAAAGUCUGAUGGAGCAACGCCGCGUGAGUGAAGAAGGGUUUCGGCUCGUAAAACUCUGUUGUUAAAGAAGAACAUAUCUGAGAGUAACUGUUCAGGUAUUGACGGUAUUUAACCAGAAAGCCACGGCUAACUACGUGCCAGCAGCCGCGGUAAUACGUAGGUGGCAAGCGUUGUCCGGAUUUAUUGGGCGUAAAGCGAGCGCAGGCGGUUUUUUAAGUCUGAUGUGAAAGCCUUCGGCUCAACCGAAGAAGUGCAUCGGAAACUGGGAAACUUGAGUGCAGAAGAGGACAGUGGAACUCCAUGUGUAGCGGUGAAAUGCGUAGAUAUAUGGAAGAACACCAGUGGCGAAGGCGGCUGUCUGGUCUGUAACUGACGCUGAGGCUCGAAAGUAUGGGUAGCAAACAGGAUUAGAUACCCUGGUAGUCCAUACCGUAAACGAUGANUGCUAAGUGUUGGAGGGUUUCCGCCCUUCAGUGCUGCAGCUAACGCAUUAAGCAUUCCGCCUGGGGAGUACGGCCGCAAGGCUGAAACUCAAAGGA